UUCAGUAAAAAAAAAAAGUUCCACCACCCUUCUUCUAACACCAUGACCACCACCACUAUCUUCUUUUUCUAACAUAACCACCAGCUAACAAGCCUAGCACCAUUUCCAGACCAUUUAGACAAGAUUUUUGAUCAAAUUCUUUCAAUUUAUUCAUUACAAAGCAACUUUGACAGCAAUUUUUAUAUCCAUCCGACUACGGAUUUUGGGGAUGAACUCUUGUAACUGAAAUUGGUCUCAAUGAAGUUUAUGAAAGAAUUAUGAAUCUGCUGGCUUGGGUUAGUGAUAAGUUUUAUUGUGAACUCUUAAAAAAGAAGAAUUAUUAGUGGUUGAGAAAUUGAAUUGGGGAGGUGAUAUAAAGGUUCUAUGUAUGGCUGACAUUUUCAAUGCGGGGUUGUUUGAUGGAAUGGAGGAUGGUCGUUGAAGUUGUUUACAUGGAAAAACGCGUCAGAAUAUGGUGAAAAGAAGUUUGUUGUGAUAUGAAGUUGGGGAUAAUUUGAGCUAGUCACUCGGUGGUGAAAUUUUGAAGGACAAAAAAUAAAAAUGGAGUUGGUGAUGUGGCUACGUUCGACGGGUGAUGCAGUGGUGGUUGUCUUGAUUACAAUGGGUCUUGUCUAUAAAUUGGUGUUGCAUUGUAGUUUUUAUAUAGUGAGAGCUCGGACAAGAAAUGAAGAAGGUUGCAGUUGAAACUAGUCGUGUACUGACUGAUUUUCUAUGUGUGAUUGAGUUUAACUUGGACAGGUUCUUCAUACCGGAAAAUCAGUUAAGAAGAUAAGUUGCUACCGAGAUAUGGGUUAUGAAUACAAGUGAUUUAAGUGAUAUAUUUUAAUUUUAGUCAUGGUAGAAGUGAGUCUUCAAGACCCUGUUGCAUCUAAUUUUGAUGGAAAACAAGGAAGAAAUUUGAGUUAGUUUCGAUACGAAUUUUCAGCGGAAAUCAAUGGCAAACUGUUGUGGUUACAACUGAUUUUAAUAGUGAAUAAUUGUGUUUAGGUAAGAACAACAAGGAAAUGAAAGAAGAUGGUUCCUGAAAUGGGUGUCAAUGCCAUUGUUUUUUGAUUUUUCAUGUCUAUUCCAGCCAGGGGUUUUUCAGUCAUUUGUAGAUCAGUUCAACUCGGCUCGAGUUGGUAUUUAACAGCAGUUGACAGUUGAAUUGAGAAAACGGGAUGGAAGAGUGAAACUGAAUGUAUUUUAGCAAUUUAGAAAAGACGGGUGUACUUUAGGAAA